GAGCUUGGCGGUGUUUUAGACCUCUCAGGGGAACCUGUCUCAUAAUCGAUAAUCCACGUUAAACCUAACCUUUGAUAGCAAUUCAGCCUGUAUACCGUUGUCGUCAGGUAACUUUUUAAAAUAUAGUAGUUAGCUUGAGAAUUUUGUUAAUUAAAACGUCAAAUCAAGGUGCAGCUAAUGAAAAGGUGAAGAUGGGUUACAAUUACAUAUUUGUAAAUGCGGAAAGUAUUUGAAAGAAUGUUUUGAAGGAGGACUUGAAAGUAAUUUUGAUUAUAUAAACAAAAUGAAUGGGGCUCUGAAACGUGCACACAUCGCCCGUCGCUCUCGUUGAAAAAUGAGAUAAGUCGUAACAUAGUAGGGGUAAUGGAAAUUGUUCCUAGGC
rnacentral:rRNA from 1 species